rnacentral:lncRNA from 1 species
GCCUCUUUCUUUAGGUCAAAAUUCUGGACUAUUGGAUUGAGAACAUAUUUGUGCAAUUUGGUAGAUUGAUAUUUCAACAAAUAGAUACGAUUCUAAUGGGUAUUAAGUGUGCAACCCUUCUGGUCGACUCAUGUUUGUUGAUAUAAUAUAAUCAUAUGACUAUUGUAGACUUUAAGUGAAACCUUUUCAAAAACAAAAAUUUUCGUUCAAAGUAAUUUAGUUUUACAUUCACCUAUGUUGAAAAUGAUAGUGCAAUGUCGCAAAAUAAC